AAUGCAUUGUAAUGUGAGGAAGGUCUAACGGUGUAGUUACUUAGUAGAGGCCUGCUGUUUGUUCAUGGAAAAUUUGAGGCGACUCUACAUGGCGCAUUUUGAUCUCAGCCCCGCUUUGGUGCCUUUCAAGCCAUGCUUGGCCCUUUGAGGGUGUAAAAGGGCAGGCAGGCGCGUCACUGGACACCUCUAUACUUUUCUAAAGGCCUUGAAGGACGCCCAGCAUGUAUAUCCACUCGGCCCAAACAACAAAGGGAAAGGCUGCGUCACAAAGGGACACCAGCAUGGACGUGAUGGAGCUCGGCGUACCGCGGGGGGCAAGUGGAUAUGCGUGCGACUACGUGCUGAUGUGGCAUCUGCUGUGGUCCGGGAGGUGACAGAGAGGUAGCAGCAACCUGAGCCAGGCUGAGAUGGCAGUCACUUUGUCCAUAUGCCCGCUCCGAGGACACACACUCUCCUGGCAGGACAAACUCCCACAUGCUGGACGCUUCGUUACCUCACUCACACACAAGCACACACACACACACACACACACACACACACACACACACAUAUAAGACUGCAGUCAAACACUCAUAAGCAAACACUCAAGCUUCACCAUGUGUGUGUGUAGUGCCACAUCAUCUGUGCUGGAGUGUGAAGGGAACGAAAGGGUAGCGGAGGUAGCGGUGUGUGCGCUGCCAAAUCACCACAUAAUAGACUGUUCCGGGACCAUCCAACCUGCCGACCAUAUGGGCUCAACACAUCAGUGGAGCGAAGGAGCCACCACACUCAUACAAGAACAUAUAAGUACCUAUAUAUACACAUGUGUAAAGAUAGGGUUUUCUUUAGUUAAAUACACUUUCAUGUAACACCUAGCACUGAGACUGAAAAUAGUCCCAAACUAAAUACUACAGUACCAAGCAGUUUUGAGAAAUGAUUUACCUUUCUUUGACAUAAAUAUGGAAAAACAAGGACAAAGCGCUAGUCACACCACAAAGUGACAUUCACUCGGUCACACAAAUUAGGUUGGGCCAAGAAGCUUAAUGAGGUACUGACCACUAGCAGGGCUAGUCGGUGAACUGCUGUAGCUGCCGAGCUAGCCGUUAGCUUGCUAGUGCUAGUCAGUCACAAGAUUCUCCCACUCUCUUUACUGUUUUGUUACUUUCCACUGACAUUUUGUUCCCCAUUGCAGAACAUUUCGUUCAAUAAAUAAAGCUCUCAGAGCUGGUGGGCUUUUUGUCGUUAACUAGCUUGUUAGCAUGUUAGCUUAGCUCAAUCGCUUGCUGGAUAAUGAGGGUAGGGUAAUAGUAGUUCUUAUUUAUUUUAUUUAUAAAAUAAACACAAAUUGCAAGUAACAUUACGGGUCUUUUAGCAGACGCUCUUAUCCAGAGCGACUUGCAGAGAACUAACUACAGUUACAGUCCCCCUGGAGCAACUCAGGGGUUAAGUGCCUUGCUCAGGGGCAAGCCCUGGUAUUGAACUCACAACCAUCUGGUGUUCUGUUUGCAAGGCGCACUAGGCCAAGUUGUAAUUAUAAUUCUCUACAUAUUGUCCACAGCCUGUAAAUAGGACUUUGUGUUUCAAAAAGCUGCCAACUUCCUAAACUUUGCUUAAUGACUUACAAUAAAUACUCAAGUGUUGCAGUUCUUUACGCCAGCUGAACAAUUUCUUCAUGAAUGUUGUUUUCUAAAUACACAUUACGGUGGAAACAGGUGUUCCCAUCGUUGUCCUUUCAUCGCUGACAGCCUUUGUUCUGCGGGUGGUAUCAUCUGUGGAGGGAGAGUUGCAUCUCCCGGUAAUGUAUUUCAUCAGCUACAGCUGUAUCAGACGCUCUCCAUUGGUGUGGAAAUGAGGGUCGUCAAGUUGCCACGUAGCUCCUUCAUCCACAUUAGAGAGACAGAGAGGAUGGGGGCUGCUCAUUUAUUCUGGCUCAGGUGUGAGUCUGUGUGUGCGUGUAUUUGU